rnacentral:lncRNA from 1 species
CAGGAAACAAUAAUGUAAUUGAUUAGAGAGAGUCAUGAAUAUAUAAUAACUUUCUUGUUUAUUUGUUGUCUUUUCUUUGAGAAUUGUUAACGAGGGAAAAGCACCCUUCAAUUUCCCCUCCGACAGCCUCCCAGGCACAGAGGCCUUAUUCCCUUUACUUCACAUAGGGAAUGAUUCUUUGGAAAUAUUUCCAGACAGCAAUUCCUAAAUAGAGACAAGAUAGAUUUUUCUACUUUUGUAGAAAUUUACUUUUGUCAGCUGCAGUCGUUCUAGGCUGUGAUCAAGUCUGGAGAGUCGUUUAUUGAGGAGGAUCUUAUGCAAGCAACCAGUGUGUCGUCCCUGGGGAAGAGGCUGAAGAUCUGUUGGAGCAGCUGACGGUAGAAACGGAUGUCUGUCUUCUGGAUUUGGGUGAUAUUUCCUCGUUUCCUAGAAAACUUGAAGUGGGUUCUGUCAUUAGGCAUGAUUGAGAGGGGAUACUUUUCAGCUGUGUAAAUAGCACAGAGGUUUCCUCCUGCCUUUCUUCUUUUCUAGCCAUGGUUCCAAGGCUUGUCCCUCCCAAGUGAGCAGGCAGCGCUGGAGAUGAGAACGAUCACUCCCGCCAUUACCAGGGAGGUGUAGGCCACUGUUAUUUCAGAGCCUGCCGCGAGGUCGGCGCGGGUCCACUACGCAAAGAGCGCAAAGCUACCAGCGCUGCGCACCACGGCCGCAGCAAGGCGCCAGAAUGGCGUUUCCAGAUUCCCAGGAUUUGGGAACCGCGGGUUUGAGUUUCGAGUCGUCCGGCAGCCCCAGGGAAACGUCGUCGCGGCUUAUCGCGCCGACUUUGUGCAGCUUCGACCCGAGGAAAAAAAUCGCCUUUGCUGCUGAGGAGGCAGCUCCGCCGUGGUCUCCCUUGAGACAUCUUCCUCAGUUUACUGAAAGGCCUUCCUCAGGACCCCACCUUGACUUGUGUUGCUGAAAAGAGAAAUGAGCAGUGUUGCCUACAAGGAAUGGAGAAGCAGGUCAGAACUUUUUAUUUUCUAGGGUAAGAAUUUUAAAGCCUGAGUGGAGUUUGCCAUAAUUUGUUACACUGGCCCCUCUCCUUUGUAAGACCCUCAGGGUCUUCUUACAUUUCCUGCCUUUACUUAAAAUUUUGAUAUUUGCCUCAUCAUGGAUUUUAGGCAUUAAUUUCCAAUUUUAAUACUGUAUUAAAAUACUAUUUGAG